AGAGUUUGAUCAUGGCUCAGGACGAACGCUGGCGGCGUGCUUAACACAUGCAAGUCGAACGGGGAGNCUCCAGCUUGCUGGGGGGAUUAGUGGCGAACGGGUGAGUAACACGUGAGUAACCUGCCCUCGACUCUGGGAUAAGCGUUGGAAACGACGUCUAAUACCGGAUAUGACUUCUGACGGCAUCGUCUGGGAGUGGAAAGAUUUUUUGGUCAAGGGNGGACUCGCGGCCUAUCAGGUAGUUGGUGAGGUAAUGGCUCACCAAGCCGACGACGAGUAGCCGGCCUGAGAGGGUGACCGGCCACACUGGGACUGAGACACGGCCCAGACUCCUACGGGAGGCAGCAGUGGGGAAUAUGUGCACAAUGGGCGAAAGCCUGAUGCAGCAACGCCGCGUGAGGGACGACGGCCUUCGGGUUGUAAACCUCUUUUAGUUGGGACGAAGGGAGCUUGCUCUUGACGGUACCAGCAGAAUAAGCACCGGCUAACUACGUGCCAGCAGCCGCGGUAAUACGUAGGUUGCAAGCGUUGUCCGGAAUUAUUGGGCGUAAAGAGCUCGUAGGCGGUUUGUCGCGUCUGCUGUGAAAUCUGGGGGCCUCAACCCCCAGCCUGCAGUGGGUACGGGCAGACUAGAGUCGGUAGGGGAGAUUGGAAUUCCUGGUGUAGCGGUGGAAUGCGCAGAUAUCAGGAGGAACACCGAUGGCGAAGCAGAUCUCUGGCCGUUACUGACGCUGAGGAGCGAAAGCAUGGGGAGCGAACAGGAUUAGAUACCCUGGUAGUCCAUGCCGUAAACGUUGGGAACUAGAUGUAGGGGCCAUUCCACGGUUUCUGUGUCGCAGCUAACGCAUUAAGUUCCCCGCCUGGGGAGUACGGCCGCAAGGCUAAAACUCAAAUGAAUUGACGG
rnacentral:rRNA from 1 species